UAGGGAAUCUUCGGCAAUGGACGAAAGUCUGACCGAGCAACGCCGCGUGAGUGAAGAAGGUUUUCGGAUCGUAAAACUCUGUUGUUAGAGAAGAACAAGGACGUUAGUAACUGAACGUCCCCUGACGGUAUCUAACCAGAAAGCCACGGCUAACUACGUGCCAGCAGCCGCGGUAAUACGUAGGUGGCAAGCGUUGUCCGGAUUUAUUGGGCGUAAAGCGAGUGCAGGCGGUUUCUUAAGUCUGAUGUGAAAGCCCCCGGCUCAACCGGGGAGGGUCAUUGGAAACUGGGAGACUUGAGUGCAGAAGAGGAGAGUGGAAUUCCAUGUGUAGCGGUGAAAUGCGUAGAUAUAUGGAGGAACACCAGUGGCGAAGGCGGCUCUCUGGUCUGUAACUGACGCUGAGGCUCGAAAGCGUGGGGAGCAAACAGG
rnacentral:rRNA from 1 species